rnacentral:tRNA from 1 species
UCCCUGGCGGCCCAGUGGUUAGGACUCUGCACGCUAACUGCAGAGGGCCCAGGUUCAAUCCCUGGUCAGGGAA